rnacentral:lncRNA from 1 species
UAAGUAAAGUAGAGGACAGAAUUAUUUUCUCUAUUUUUCUUUGGAAUAGGCAAUGCUAAGAAAAGAGUGAUAUGCAAGCUGAGACCAAAAAUAUGGUAUGAUUUAGCCAUAUUGAAGGGGAAGGAAAUAAGAGCUGGGCAAAGCAUUCUGUGAAUUGGCUGACUCCACUUCUAUGGUGAGAGAGAAGAGUGCAUCAAAGAUUACUCCCAGGAUACCAUUAACCCUGGAUAAAGAGAAUGGAGGUUACCUCUGUCCGUGUAGAUUCCUAAGCUGUCCUGGAGUGAUCCUUGGAGUAAAGGAAAGGUGCUUUGAAGCACAUUUAGCCAUCAGCCCUGUGGGAUGGCAGCCACUGAUUUGUCCUAUGGUCUUUACAGGGACCCAGUCUGCCUUCAAGAA